UGGGGGAUAUUGCACAAUGGGCGAAAGCCUGAUGCAGCGACGCCGCGUGGGGGAUGAAGGCCUUCGGGUUGUAAACUUCUUUUGCUCUGAACAAGGCGCACCAUGGGGUGUGUUGAGUGUAGGGGUUGAUUAGCGCCGGCUAACUACGUGCCAGCAGCCGCGGUAAUACGUAGGGCGCGAGCGUUGUCCGGAAUUAUUGGGCGUAAAGGGCUAGUAGGUGGCUGGUUGCGUCUGUCGUGAAAGCUCAUGGCUUAACUGUGGGUUUGCGGUGGGUACGGGCUGGCUUGAGUGCAGUAGGGGAGGCUGGAAUUCCUUGUGUAGCGGUGGAAGGCGCAGAUAUCAGGAGGAAUUCCGGUGGCGAAGGCGGGUCUCUGGGCUGUUACUGACACUGAGGAGCGAAAGCAUGGGGAGCGAACAGG
rnacentral:rRNA from 1 species